AGAAGCUUAGGAUAAUAUAAACCUAGGGCCUUCAAAGCCCUAAACAGGGUUGCAACCCCCUAGCCUCUG
rnacentral:tRNA from 1 species